AUUGAACGCUGGCGGCAUGCCUUACACAUGCAAGUCGAACGGCAGCACGGGAGCAAUCCUGGUGGCGAGUGGCGAACGGGUGAGUAAUAUAUCGGAACGUGCCCAGUCGUGGGGGAUAACGUAGCGAAAGCUACGCUAAUACCGCAUACGAUCUACGGAUGAAAGCGGGGGAUCGCAAGACCUCGCGCGAUUGGAGCGGCCGAUAUCAGAUUAGCUAGUUGGUGGGGUAAAAGCUCACCAAGGCGACGAUCUGUAGCUGGUCUGAGAGGACGACCAGCCACACUGGAACUGAGACACGGUCCAGACUCCUACGGGAGGCAGCAGUGGGGAAUAUUGCGCAAUGGGGGAAACCCUGACGCAGCAACGCCGCGUGAAGGAAGAAGGCCUUCGGGUUGUAAACUUCUUUUGAUUGGGACGAAGGAAGUGACGGUACCCAAAAAACAAAGACCACGGCUAACUACGUGCCAGCAGCCGCGGUAAGGAGUAAGUACA
rnacentral:rRNA from 1 species